ACCAGACUCCUACGGGAGGCAGCAGUAGGGAAUCUUUCACAAUGGGCGAAAGCCUGACCCAGCAACGCCGCGUGAAGGAAGAAGGCUUUCGGGUUGUAAACUUCUUUUAUUCGGGACGAAGAAAGUGACGGUACCGAAUGAAUAAGCCACGGCUAACUACGUGCCAGCAGCCGCGGUAAUACGUAGGUGGCAAGCGUUAUCCGGAUUUAUUGGGUGUAAAGGGCGUGUAGGCGGGAAUGCAAGUCAGAUGUGAAAACUCAGGGCUCAACCCUGAGCCUGCAUUUGAAACUGUAUUUCUUGAGUGCUGGAGAGGCAAUCGGAAUUCCGUGUGUAGCGGUGAAAUGCGUAGAUAUACGGAGGAACACCAGUGGCGAAGGCGGAUUGCUGGACAGUAACUGACGCUGAGGCGCGAAAGCGUGGGGAGCAAACAGGAUUAGAUACCCCCGUAAAG
rnacentral:rRNA from 1 species